rnacentral:tRNA from 1 species
GGGCCGGUAGCUCAGACAGGAAGAGCAGCGGACUUUUAAUCCGUUGGCCGUGGGUUCGAAUCCCGCUCGGCCCA